rnacentral:tRNA from 1 species
GCCUGGGUGGUGAAAUGGUAGACACGCGAGACUUAAAAUCUUGUGGCCGCAAGGUCAUGUGGGUUCGAUUCCCACCCCAGGCACCA